rnacentral:rRNA from 1 species
GAUGAACGCUGGCGGCGUGCCUAAUACAUGCAAGUCGAGCGAACGGACGAGAAGCUUGCUUCUCUGAUGUUAGCGGCGGACGGGUGAGUAACACGUGGAUAACCUACCUAUAAGACUGGGAUAACUUCGGGAAACCGGAGCUAAUACCGGAUAAUAUUUUGAACCGCAUGGUUCAAAAGUGAAAGACGGUCUUGCUGUCACUUAUAGAUGGAUCCGCGCUGCAUUAGCUAGUUGGUAAGGUAACGGCUUACCAAGGCAACGAUGCAUAGCCGACCUGAGAGGGUGAUCGGCCACACUGGAACUGAGACACGGUCCAGACUCCUACGGGAGGCAGCAGUAGGGUAUCUUCCGCAAUGGGCGAAAGCCUGACGGAGCAACGCCGCGUGAGUGAUGAAGGUCUUCGGAUCGUAAAACUCUGUUAUUAGGGAAGAACAUAUGUGUAAGUAACUGUGCACAUCUUGACGGUACCUAAUCAGAAAGCCACGGCUAACUACGUGCCAGCAGCCGCGGUAAUACGUAGGUGGCAAGCGUUAUCCGGAAUUAUUGGGCGUAAAGCGCGCGUAGGCGGUUUUUUAAGUCUGAUGUGAAAGCCCACGGCUCAACCGUGGAGGGUCAUUGGAAACUGGAAAACUUGAGUGCAGAAGAGGAAAGUGGAAUUCCAUGUGUAGCGGUGAAAUGCGCAGAGAUAUGGAGGAACACCAGUGGCGAAGGCGACUUUCUGGUCUGUAACUGACGCUGAUGUGCGAAAGCGUGGGGAUCAAACAGGAUUAGAUACCCUGGUAGUCCACGCCGUAAACGAUGAGUGCUAAGUGUUAGGGGGUUUCCGCCCCUUAGUGCUGCAGCUAACGCAUUAAGCACUCCGCCUGGGGAGUACGACCGCAAGGUUGAAACUCAAAGGAAUUGACGGGGACCCGCACAAGCGGUGGAGCAUGUGGUUUAAUUCGAAGCAACGCGAAGAACCUUACCAAAUCUUGACAUCCUUUGACAACUCUAGAGAUAGAGCUUUCCCCUUCGGGGGACAAAGUGACAGGUGGUGCAUGGUUGUCGUCAGCUCGUGUCGUGAGAUGUUGGGUUAAGUCCCGCAACGAGCGCAACCCUUAAGCUUAGUUGCCAUCAUUAAGUUGGGCACUCUAAGUUGACUGCCGGUGACAAACCGGAGGAAGGUGGGGAUGACGUCAAAUCAUCAUGCCCCUUAUGAUUUGGGCUACACACGUGCUACAAUGGACAAUACAAAGGGCAGCGAAACCGCGAGGUCAAGCAAAUCCCAUAAAGUUGUUCUCAGUUCGGAUUGUAGUCUGCAACUCGACUACAUGAAGCUGGAAUCGCUAGUAAUCGUAGAUCAGCAUGCUACGGUGAAUACGUUCCCGGGUCU